CGCUUCGGUGGCCGAGUGAUUAGGGGUCCGCCUCUGAAUCGGGAGGUUGUGGGUUCGAUCCCCUGUCGAGUAA